UACGUAGGGUGCAAGCGUUGUCCGGAAUUAUUGGGCGUAAAGAGCUCGUAGGUGGCCUGUCGCGUCGGCUGUGAAAACCCGCGGCUCAACCGCGGGCCUGCAGCCGAUACGGGCAGGCUAGAGUUCGGUAGGGGAGACUGGAAUUCCUGGUGUAGCGGUGAAAUGCGCAGAUAUCAGGAGGAACACCGAUGGCGAAGGCAGGUCUCUGGGCCGAUACUGACGCUGAGGAGCGAAAGCGUGGGGAGCGAACAGG
rnacentral:rRNA from 1 species